AUUGAACGCUGGCGGCAGGCCUAACACAUGCAAGUCGAGCGAGCGGCGGACGGGUGAGUAAUGUAUGGGAAACUGCCUGAUAGAGGGGGAUAACUACUGGAAAAGGUAGCUAAUACCGCAUACCAUCGGAUGUCCCCAGAUGGGAUUAGCUAGUAGUUGAGGGAACGGCUCACCUAGGCGACGAUCCCUAGCUGGUCUGAGAGGAUGACAAGCCACACUGGAACUGAGCCACGGUCCAGACUCCUACGGGAGGCAGCAGUGGGGAAUAUUGCACAAUGGGCGCAAGCCUGAUGCAGCCAUGCCGCGGGUGUGAAGAAGGCCUUCGGGUUUUAAAGCACUUUCAGCGGGGAGGCGUUACCAGCAGAAGAAGCACCGGCUAACUCCGUGCCAGCAGCCGCGGUAAUUC
rnacentral:rRNA from 1 species